UUUUAAUUUUAUAAAAUUAAUUUUUAUUAUUAAUUUUAUAAAAUUAUAUUGGGGUGAUAAAAAAAUUUUUAAAACUUUUUUAUUUAAUAUUCUUUAAUUUAAGUAAAAUUUUAAAAUUUAAAUUUUAAAAUUUAAGUAAAA
rnacentral:rRNA from 1 species